GACCCUCCCCACAGCUCCAAGACUCAGCCCACAGCACCAAGAUUAAAUCCAGAGCACAGGCUCGCCCCACUGCACUCGGACAAGCUCACCUCAUCGCAGAGAGAUGCAAAGACCAUCUUAACAUGUAUCCCCUCGACUGGCACAAUGCACCAUCUUUCCCUCCAAGGCAUCAGUUGACUCCGCAACAAACACAGUCACCACACAAUGCAAACACACCCUAUGGCACCCUCGUGUGCCCUACAGCGUCCAGAGCUCCUCCAAAUAUCCACUUCUCCAUAAGGCACACUGUGGCCUUGGAUCAAGAAAGCCCCUGUCAAAUUCUUCAGACACACUUUGUGAUACAUAUACACACCUCACAACUCACAGCACUACUUCCCAGUGUGCAUACUGGCCCUACAGUGCACAGGCUUCUUCCACAACAGACACGCUCAUGCCGUGGCAGCACCUAACUUUUCCCGGAAGUGUUCAGAUUUGCCCCUCAGCGCACAGUCACCUCACAACCUCGAUACAACCUAUGAUAAACACAACCCUGCACUCAGUUAUGCAGGGUCAUGUCACAGAACACACUUGUCAUGUAGAUUCAUUUCACCCAAACCACACUCCUUAGGGUGAUUACGCAGUGCACACACACACCCCCAGACACUCACCACCCUUUGUUCUACAACCUCCGGAUUCACCCGUAACACACAGAUGGCUUUCACACCAAAGUCGGCCCAAGGAGGCCCAGAACUUCAUCUAGAUGCACAGAUUCUCCCAUCAACACACAGACUUGCUCCACGACACACACAAACACCACAGAACCCUGAGCUUCACCCCAAAUACUCAGUCAAGCCUUUCAAGUCAUAGAUUUGCCCCACGACAUAAUGACACCCACAAAACUUAGAAUUCACAGAAAUGCCUGUGAACACAGAUUUCUCCCUCAAUGCAUAGAGUUGCAACACGACAUACAUUUACCCUAAGAUAGAAAACCUAUAAAGCACAUGAGCCUUCCCCAAUAUGUAGACACACAACACACACUAUUACCUGUGCAACACCAAGAUUUCCAUCAUAGUUUACAGAUGUGUUUUACCAUCCCACGGAGCUGCAGCCCUGGCCCUCAACACAUACCACUUGUGUAAUGGCUAAGAGCAAGGCCUCUGGACCCAGACUACUUGGGUUCGAAUCCAGGUUCCACCCCUUUCUAAUUGUGCACAUUGGUCUUCAUUUGUCAACUGUGGAUGAUGCUGGUUCCUGCCUCCAAGACUGUUGGACUCUAUGACACCAGGAGAUGGGAAGAUUGAGAGAGCUGGUGGAAGCGGGGAAGAGGGCCUCUUUCGCCACCUAGUGACCAUUUUGAGUGGUGAUACUUGUUCUCAUCUCAGCCUGGUAGCCUGAACUUGACUCCUGAGUUCUGUGAUCCCUUCACAACUGCAAGUCAUUCUCAUAUGAAAUUUGAGUUUACCUAGUCUGCACCUUUGAGAGUUUCAGAACAAUAUGCAAAUUCCAGUUACCAUCAUGCUGUUUUGUUGAAUAUCUCAGGGAGAAGAGGCUGGACCAUCGGACUGCAUUAUGCAAACCCAUUCUACAAAUAGCAGACAGAAAGACCUCACACAGACAGUGGAACCCUGGAAUUCAGACUCUGACAGCUUUGAUGAUGUGAUGAUCCAUGCAGGAGACUGAGCUUACUCAUAUGCAGAUAAAAUCCUGUUUUCUCCAUUCUUUCCCUGUCACUACUGUGAUGAUCAGCCUUUUCAGUGAUGUUAUUCUUCACCUUAAGCUCAGAGAGAAAUAGAAAUUAGUUGCCCAACAAUCACAAUUGCUAAUGUAAAAUUCGUAAAUUCCAUCAAGGCUCACUUUACUUAGUGUUUUAUUCUGAUGAACAAACCAAUUGUCUGGGCUUUUAUAAUACUCCCUUCCCUCCCCCAAUUUCCCCCCAAAACUUAUAAAUUCCUCCAACACAAAUUCCCCUACAAGGAGGGUUUAAGUAACUCAACUCUAGGACCUAAGGAGGGGGUUAUUCAGUUUGAUAAGUUUUUGACCCUAAAAUUUAUUUUAACUCUGUUUAAGCCUAACUUGCUGUCUCAACAGAAAGGAUACAAAUCCCCUUGUUAAUUCAUUUGGUAUAAGUUCAUUUGUUUUGCAGUAGUUGUAUAAGGUACUCAAAGGCAUGGUGUGUCCUGGAAGGCAGUACGUUUAUAGUGGAUUCCUGGAUUUACUUUGGUACCUAAUCAAGGAGGAGAAGCUGCUAGAGUUCAUUGCCAUCCAUCUUCUCUGUUCUCAUAUCUGGUCUUCCAAGUGAUUCAAAUGGUUGAAUAUCCUCUUCCCUAAAGGUGGUAGAAAUUCAGUAAGUUUUCCCCUAGCCUGGAAAAUCUGAAAGAUAGGUCCCCUAUAUCUGAGUUUGCAGUGAUCAGAGAAAGGGGACAAGAAUACAAAAGUUAAAAGUCUUGGCUUGUGUAGUUACAGUUGGGAUGACAGACAUUCCUCAACAUGUUCCAAAGAGGCAGAUGAGUGUUGAAAACCCAUUACUGGGUGAUAGGGACCUAGGGGCUCACCAUAGUGCCAGGGGAGCUUACACUCUUCUCUAAGUCACGGUGGUUUUCAACACUGGCUGCCCAUCAAAAUCGUUAUGGGGAACUUCAAAAGCAGAUUUUUGGGAUCUGUCCCUAGACGUGCUAAAUCGGGGAUUAGGCCAGCAGCUGUUGAUUUUGAAAGCUACUCAAGCAGUUUUUUUAAUAGAGUCAUGGUUGGAAACCACUGCUGUUGAAAACCAUAAUUAUGAUAGAAAAUAUACCACAAAUGAUAGUGAGCCCAGGGGGUAGGAAACCUCGAUUCCAAGUUUCUGCACUGCCACGGGCUCAGUGGAUGCUCUUAUUCAAAUCAUCCUACUCUUUCCUUGUCUGUCCAAGGAGAGAACAGGAACACUUGGUCUCUGAUGUCCUUCUAUCUCUAACAUUGUUACCUUGAGAGAAAGGUUCAUCAGCCUCAUUGGUUGAUUUUGAGACUACCUAAGCCCUUUCAUAGAGACCAAGGUAAGUAGUAAUACUACUGUCUUGUACUCUUGUUGUUUUAAAAAUGGUUCUUGCGACUCAGGCUUUCUUAUGUUUUACUCCCUCUCAGAAAACAGUUAGUCACAGAUGCCAUAGAAGAAAGGGAAACCAACUUAACAUCAACUCUGAGUUAUAGGGUUUGCAUUAUAUAUAUAAUGCAUAGACAUUAUCAAUCAAACUAGAUAUUUUGUUUCAUUUCCAUAAACCAAAGCAGAGAAUUGUUAACUGUUUCAAGGUUCCAUGGAUAACUGGGGUACUCUUAAUCAUACCUAGAGGCAAAUAUUUUUAAGUGAAUGAUUGUUUUACCAGUAUAAUCAGCAGUUCCAUGUGGUUUUAAAGAAUGUAGUUUCUUGAUAAGUUUAUCAUUUAUUGAGAUUAUUGCAUUGGCAAGUUUUUGUCUUAAUUUGACCAGAAUUAGAGAAAUAAAACUUUAAGUUGAAUAGCAUCCAUCAGGAAAUGUUAAUAUAAAAUAAUACAAUGGAAAACUGACUAGUAUAUGAUUCUGGUGGUGGUAGGAAUGCCUAGACUUUGGCUUGAUAUAUGGAAAUAUUUGUCUAUGGCCUAGACUAUUUGAAAAUACUGGGGUAUAUCUAAUUCUUGUUUAUGGCAAUAUCCAUUUCAAAUAAUUUAAAAAAUAUCAUUGAUGAGGGUAAAAGACCAUUUUAAUAUGGUUCAGUCUAGCAAGUCAGCAGGGCUUCCAAGGUGGCUCAGUGGUAAAAGAAUCUGCCUGCCAGUGCAGGAGACCAAGAGAUGGG